AUGAGAGUGGCGCACGGGUGCGUAACGCGUGAGCAACCUACCCAUAUCAGGGGGAUAGCCUCUCGAAAGAGAGAUUAACACCGCAUAACAUCAUUAACCGGCAUCGGAUUAUGAUCAAAUAUUUAUAGGAUAUGGAUGGGCUCGCGUGACAUUAGCUAGUUGGAGGGGUAACGGCCCACCAAGGCUACGAUGUCUAGGGGCUCUGAGAGGAGAAUCCCCCACACUGGUACUGAGACACGGACCAGACUCCUACGGGAGGCAGCAGUAAGGAAUAUUGGUCAAUGGAGGGAACUCUGAACCAGCCAUGCCGCGUGCAGGAUGACUGCCCUAUGGGUUGUAAACUGCUUUUGUCAGGGAAUAAACCUUUCCACGUGUGGGAAGCUGAAUGUACCUGAAGAAUAAGGAUCGGCUAACUCCGUGCCAGCAGCCGCGGUAAUACGGAGGAUCCAAGCGUUAUCCGGAUUUAUUGGGUUUAAAGGGUGCGUAGGCGGUCCUAUAAGUCAGUGGUGAAAGACGGCAGCUUAACUGUCGCAGUGCCUUUGAUACUGUAGGACUUGAAUCUAUUUGAAGUGGGCGGAAUAAGACAAGUAGCGGUGAAAUGCAUAGAUAUGUCUUAGAACUCCGAUUGCGAAGGCAGCUCACUAAGUUAGUAUUGACGCUGAUGCACGAAAGCGUGGGGAUCAAACAGGAUUAGAUACCCUGGUAGUCCACGCCCUAAACGAUGAUAACUCGAUGUUUGCGAUACACAGUAAGCGUCCAAGCGAAAGCGUUAAGUUAUCCACCUGGGGAGUACGGUCGCAAGAUUGAAACUCAAAGGAAUUGACGGG
rnacentral:rRNA from 1 species